UUUCAUUAAUGGUGCUAUGAGCAAAGUGUUGUCGUCGAUUUUUUGUGCGGCAAAGAGAAACAAAGCAUUAAUAAACAUAACUGCAUACUCAGAAAUAAGCUAUUGUUUUUCUUUUGAGAAUUACAAAAAAAUGUUGCACAAAUAUCAAUUUUUCUGAUGUACAUAGACGCACCAGUGGGAAGAUGUAUAAUUUUCAUAAAAAUGAAUUAAAUCUCGAUGGACCAGAUUCUUUGAAUUAUUACUGAUAUGAUCUAAAGAAAUCCGAAAGAUUUUCUACCAAUCACAACUUUGCAAGAGGAUCUUGCUGACGGUUUGUACAGCUUUCAAUUUCUAAGGAAGGAUAUGUAAAAUGUUUGGGACUAUGAAUCUAUCUUUUUAUUGGAUGAACUGUCAAUCAUCUGUUUGGGACAGCAGCCCGCCAAUUUUUUACCAGGACAAUGCUGCCAUACAUGUUUGCCGUGACAGUCGGUAUUGGUUUCAGAAGGAGGAGAACGAACUAUUGAGGAUGUUUGAUAUUACUUACAUAUUUCAUGAGUUGCGCCACCAUUCCGUUCCAUUCGCCUGAAAAUGGAUCUUGUGCGCCAUAUUUUCGAUCGGGCACUAGGUCAAGAAUGUAAUCAAAUCCAACAUCACGCGCUAUCAACUCCAGUAUGUCUACACAAAACCCAAAGAACCUCUCAUUUCCUGUGUAAUUUUUACCAUAGUGCAUCAUCACAUAAGGCGUUUCCUUUAACGACAACAUAAAAAUAAUUUUAGUGCUUUUUUAACUUAUAUUUUAAAUAAUUCAACAAUGCCACAAUGUCAGUAAAUAAAUUUUCCUCACCAAUAUUGUAAUUACAA